AUGCUAGUUAGUGCUUUUUCAGAUGCAGACUGGCCAGGCUGUCCUGAUGACAGGAGGUCAAUAGGAGGCUUUGCAGUAUUCCUUGGAGGUAAUUUGAUAUCCUGGUGUGCUCGCAAGCAACCUACUGUUUCUCGGUCCAGUACAGAAGCUGAGUACAAGGCAUUAGCCAAUGCUACUGCUGAAAUUAUUUGGGUCCAACAUUUGCUGACAGAACUGGGUGUUCAUCAUCCAAAAGCUGCAUCGCUCUGGUGUGAUAAUCUUGGUGCCACAUACCUAUUUGCUAAUCCUAUAUUUCAUGCCAGGACAAAAUAUAUUGAAAUUGACUAUCAUUUUGUUCGUGAACGGGUGGCUGAAAAAUUGUUGAAUAUAAGGUUUAUACCCACUGGUGAUCAAGUUGAGGAUGGAUUCACUAAGCCACUUACUUUGCAAUAG
rnacentral:rRNA from 1 species